AUUGAGCGGCGGACGGGUGAGUAAUGCCUAGGAAUCUGCCUGGUAGUGGGGGAUAACGUUCGGAAACGAACGCUAAUACCGCAUACGUCCUACGGGAGAAAGCAGGGGACCUUCGGGCCUUGCGCUAUCAGAUGAGCCUAGGUGGGAUUAGCUAGUUGGUGAGGUAAUGGCUCACCAAGGCGACGAUCCGUAACUGGUCUGAGAGGAUGAUCAGUCACACUGGAACUGAGACACGGUCCAGACUCCUACGGGAGGCAGCAGUGGGGAAUAUUGCACAAUGGGCGAAAGCCUGAUCCAGCCAUGCCGCGUGUGUGAA
rnacentral:rRNA from 1 species